CGACUUGACAUCCUGACCCUUCAACGCAGUAAGAGAAGCUCAAGUCAGCAGAGGAACAACAGUCUCUGCUUUUCCAGCUCCAGAUUUAUGAUAGCACCAGUCAGUGAAAGACUUGCAAAUCUACUCUGUAGGAAAACUUGGAACACAAAAGUUAAACUCCUGGAAUGCUUACAAGCUUCUGCAUUUAUGUAAAUGUAUGAGACAGGCCCGCCGACAAACGGGGACAAAGAGGGCAACUGCCCAGGGGCCCGGGCGAAUGAAACCUGGUUAUGCCGUAAAGCCCGCAAAGCAUCUUUAGGAUA